UGCAAGAUGAAUAAUAUCUACUGUUCUUCUUUUCAGGGUUAUUUUCUUCUGCAGUUUUAGGGCAACAUGUUUCGAAGAACGUUAUCAGUAUUUUUUGCUGUGGUCUUAUUCGCCGUGCAGGUCAACUGUCAUGGCGACGUCAUCUCUCGCCUGGAAGUGACCUCCGAAGUGGGUCAUCGAUACGCCGUCACCUACGUCACGGCCGCCGUCACGAACAGCAAGCCAAGACCCUCUGAUCUCAAGUUUAAACUGCUGUUGCCUUGGGGGGCUUACGUCACUACCCUGACCAUCGAGAGCAAUGGCAAGAAUUACACGACGAUUAUAAGGGAGCGGCGCCCCCACGAACGGCGACGACCCGACCCCAACCCUUCUAGUGAUGCAGAGAAAAAGAGUGCCACGAAGAAGAUCAAAACCACACAAACAUUUAGAGCGAGUGCCAGCGUGGGUGCCAACGAGACCGCAGUGUUCUACCUCAAGUACGAAGAGCUGUUGCAAAGAGUGAAGGGAAAGUACACUCAUAGACUCUACUUACGACCUGCCAAUAAAAUCAGCCUGUUGGAUGUCAGAGUCAGAAUUUCAGAGACGGAAAACAUCACCGAAUUCGAGACUGAAAUUCCAAAUGAUCACGAAAAUGAAGGUCUUUCCGGAUCCAAUGAAGUACAUCAGGAGCGGCUAAGUCCUUCGGAAAUACUGCUGACUUACCGGGAGGAAAAUAUUACUGCAAGAGCCAAAAAUAUACGUGAUGAAGACGGAAACAAUGAAGAGAACGAUGAUGAUAGCAUAGAUGCGAAUGAAGUAGACAGCGAAGAAGAUAAAGAAGGUCUUUUAAGCAUUUCUUACGAUGUGGAUAGACAGGCUGAUGGAGGAGAAAUACAGAUCCUGGGGGGCUUCUUCGUCCACUAUUUCUGCCCCGAGGGACUACCCAAGCUGCCCACCCACACUGUCUUCGUUCUCGACAUCUCGGGGUCUAUGUACGACUUCGGCAAACUCGACCAACUGAAGCUCGCCAUGGAGUCCAUUCUUCACAGUAUGAAGCCGGAGGAUUCUUUCGAGGUCUUGGUGUUCUCGACCCGCGUGACCUCGCUGGGAGUGUUCACGGCCAACCCCAAGGACGUGGAGCGAGGAGUGACCAAGAUCAAGCGACUCCACGCCAUGGGAGGCACCAACUUCAACGAGGCACUCCUCAGGGCCAUUCUGGAGAUGAACAAUUUCAAUGAAACCACGGCAGCUAAACAGGUGGUGUUCCUGACGGACGGCAAGCCCAACUUGGGGGAAACCAAGUCAGAUUUGCUUCGCAGAAACGUACGAGAAGCCAACAUCCACAACUACCCGAUCUUCUCGCUUGGUUUUGGUGGAGAUGCAGAUAUGCGACUGCUCCGUCAGGUGAGCACAGACAACCGCGGAUUCACCCGCAAGAUCGACGCCCACGCCCACGCCCAUCCCGCCGACCAACUCAGGAACUUCUACGAGGAGAUCUCAACGCCGCUCAUCACAGACGUCGACGUGAUGUACCUGGACGACGAGGUUGAGCCCAACACCGUCGUGCGUCAAGGAACGUCGACUUACUACUCCGGUGAUGAAGUGGUGUUGGCAGGGCAGCUGGCAGAGGGGGCCACGGAGGUGCGGCCCAUCAUCACAGGACAGGGGCGGUCCGGGCCGAUGCAGUUCAGGGGUCCGAGUGUCCAAGCCGUGGAGGAGCCCGAGAGAGAUAACUACGUGAGAGCUCUGGGCGUAUCUCGCGGUGCAGGAUUUGUUAUCGAUGCAGGAGGUGGUAGAGGAUUCGAACCUACGGGCGGAAAUGCGCGCCAGGGCUCUCGACAUUGCUGUUCGGUUCCAAUUCCUGACGAAACUGACCUCCCUGGACAUCGUGCCGGACUCCGAGGGCCACCCCUCAGGCUACAAGUCCGCGGCCCUCCACCAGAAGUCCAACUCGGUGACCAUCAGACUACCCAACACCGACCAGGACCUCACCCUCCUGAGUGCCGAGGAGUUCGCCAAGACCCUACCGGCGCCUCUCCACUCGCGAGUCGACACCCAGAGCAAGAGGCGGUUCUCCUUCGGGGACAACGACCCCCACUUCGUCGUACAAGUCCCGGGGGUCCACCUUCCCCUGUGCUUCGACCUGCAUGGACAGAACAAGGACGUCUUCAGUCUUGUACGCGAUCACAGGUCAGGCAUCAUUGUCAACGGAGAAGUGACGUCAUCAGCUGAUCACCCGGAAUUGACGUAUUUUACGAAGAUUUUCAUCAGUCUCGCAGAAGUCAGUCUUACCAUCACUCCGGAGAGAAUUGAAGUCGACUGUCUUGAUGAGGCGGGGAAUCCAAAGGUGAGUGCGGCGUCGAGUUCCCUCUGGCCCUUCAAGCGCAGACCCCGCAAGCGCCGAGUGCCGCGCCUGAAGAGCCUGCGGCGCCGAAGGAAGGUCCAGCGACAGCUCUCGAAGGGCGUCCCUGGAGGCAGACGAAGGC
rnacentral:misc_RNA from 1 species